AGAGAGGAGCUGAAGCAGAGAUCCCAGCCCCCAAUAGAGAUGAGGAUGCCAAGGACACAGAGUGACUACAAGGAUGAUGGGGGUAGUCCUGCAGUGUCAGAAAACACAAGAGACACCUUUUGAAUUCUCACGACAAUCAGCAAUCGUUUCGAGGGUUGUUGCCUCCUCCUGGUUGUCUUACCCCAGUCUCUGAGCUGCAGAAGGGCAGGGAGAUUUAUUGGUUCUGCUGCUUCUGCGUCCUCUGAAUCCAAAAUAGACCAAAUAUACAAAGAGGAAAUAAUAUGGAGAGAGAAACACACACAGACCCGGGGAAGAAGACCCAAAAGAUGGAGACAGAGAUUGCAGAGAUGCACUACAGCCCAAGGAGGCCAAGGAUGGCUGGAGCCACAAGAAGCCAGGAGA